rnacentral:pre_miRNA from 1 species
GAUCUUAUUAGGGAUGCAAAUUCUCUUGGCCCUGCCCAAGACCUGUACUGAAUCAGAAACUCUGGGAGUGGAGCCCAGAAAUCUGCAUUUUAAC